UCAUAGUUUCGUGUAUAUCUAUUUGAAGCGAAAGGUGUCGAAGGAAAAGUCAAAACUUUCGUAGUAAUCGAGAAACAUAGUCAAAUUUGGAUCAUUCACGAUUCGGACCCCAGAAUUUUCAGUUGGUUCUUCUUGGUAACUAGGUCGUACCGAUCCAACACCGUGCAUCCAUCUCUUCUAAGCACUUUCGGAAGUGCACUAGCAUUCGAUAGAUCCAACCGGCCCCGUUCUCCUCUUCCACCCCGUUGCCUAGUACCGCGGAAUGAGAAGGUCUCUUCUCUCACGAUCUCGAAUCUCAUCGACGAAACGUUACGAUUGAAAAUAAAAUUAUUCAACCGUUUUAGUCGCUAGUCGAAUUUCAGGAUUCGAGUCUAGCUGGAAAUCGUCGGCGGUCCACGGGGUUCUUCUCAACUCGUCCGUAAACCGCACACUCGCGAGCCACGAAAACCACUCUCGUUAUUUACACCAACCGAGAUGAUACUACUAUAUAGGCACACACAGUUCGAGCGUGCAACAAAACCGCGUUGUCGCAUCGAUCAACAACGGCUAUGGUACCUAUAAACGAACGAAACGUAAGUAACAGACGUAUAUAUACGUAUAGGUUGUUUCAAAAACGCAUGUCAAUACUUCAGGAGUAUAUUUGCACAUUCGAACGGAUCGAAAAUGUCAUAUGAUUAUUUGCCAUGCGACAAUUUUUACCUAUUUUAAUGCGUAAACUUACCCCCUGAAGUGUUGGCACGUAUUUAUGAAAAAACAUCCCUGUCAUCAAAAAAGGAAAUGCGUUUCCAAUCGAAAAUAAAUAGACGAUGAUUUUGCUGAUACGAUAGUUAUUAAAAAUACACUUCGAUCAGAUAAUAGAUAAUGAAUGUGAUGGUGGGGAUAGAGGAAGGUAAAAGAAAGAAGGAACGGAACGAAUCGAUUGGCUAGCUUCGUCGAAGGAAGAUGGCUAAUUAGGAUGUAAUUAAAAUUAAAUCGGCCGGGCCAUCGGCUACCAUCAGCGCGAGCGAUGCUCGCGUUUUAGUCGUGAAUAUCGAGAGAAAUGGAGGAAGAGGAGGAGGAGGAGAUGAAGGCGGUGGGCUAGGGGGAGAGUUAAGAGAAAAAAGGACGAUGAAAAAGAUAGAAAAAGAGAUAGAAGGGAGUGGGUGGUAGGUGGAUCUCGUCCGCCAUAUUCUAACUCCAGCAUCGCCAUCGCCAUUGGCAGUAGCAGCAACAGCAUUCUCUCUCUCGCGGGCUAUCGUAUUAUUAAUAAAAUAUUAUAUAACGCUUUAUAUAAAAAAAAGAGAAAAGGAAAAAGGAGAAGGAGAGAGAGA